rnacentral:rRNA from 1 species
UCAAAUUUGAAAUCUGGCAGUUUCGCUGUCCGAGUUGUAAUUUGAAGAAGGUAUCUUUGGGUCUGGCGCUUGUCUAUGUUCCUUGGAACAGGACGUCACAGAGGGUGAGAAUCCCGUGCGACGGGCUGCCCAGAUCCGUGUAAAGUUCCUUCGAAGAGUCGAGUUGUUUGGGAAUGCAGCUCUAAGUGGGUGGUAAAUUCCAUCUAAAGCUAAAUAUUGGCGAGAGACCGAUAGCGAACAAGUACAGUGAUGGAAAGAUGAAAAGAACUUUGAAAAGAGAGUGAAAAAGUACGUGAAAUUGUUGAAAGGGAAGGGCAUGCGAUCAGACUUGGUAUUUUGUACGUCUUGUCUUCGGGCGGGGCCUCUGCAGCUUGCUGGGCCAGCAUCGGUUCGGGUGGCAGGACAAUUGCGGAGAAAUGUGGCACGGCCUCGGUUGUGUGUUAUAGUCUCUGUCGAUACUGCCUGCCUGGACCGAGGACUGCGUCUUUACGACUAGGAUGCUGGCAUAAUGAUCGUACGCCGCC